rnacentral:tRNA from 4 species
GUAGGUAUCGCAUAGCGGCAAUUGCUGGAGACUGUAAAUCUCUUGCCCUUCGGGGCUUCGUUGGUUCGAGUCCAACUACCUGCACCA